GUGCCAGCAGCCGCGGUAAGACGAACUGUGCGAACGUUGUUCGGAAUCACUGGGCUUAAAGGGUGCGUAGGCGGCCCGUUAAGUCGGGGGUGAAAUACUUCGGCUCAACCGGAGAAUUGCCUUCGAUACUGGCGGGCUGGAGGAAGGUAGGGGUCGCGGGAACUGCCAGUGGAGCGGUGAAAUGCGUUGAUAUUGGCAGGAACGCCGGUGGUGAAGACGCGCGGCUGGACCUUUUCUGACGCUGAUGCACGAAAGCCAGGGGAGCAAACGGGAUUAGAAACCCCAGUAGUCC
rnacentral:rRNA from 1 species